GCAUUAAUUUAUGCAUUAAUUUUUUUUAUGUUUUUGAAAAAUUUUUCCAUAUUUUUUUUUUUUAUAUUUUUGGAAUUACUAAUGAAUGUAACAUAAAUUUUGGUACAGCUUCUUAAUUAAAGUGUAUAUUAUUUUAUAUAAAUUUUUGCGUUUUUUUUUUGAACAAAAUAUAAUAAAUUAAAAAUGGUUUUAAAAUUAUAAAUUAUUUUUAAAAUCAUUUCACAAAUAAUAAAGACUUUGUUAAUAAAAAGAAGAAAUACAAACACUAAUAUAAGUAUUUAUAUAAGUAUUUAUAUAAGUAUUUCUAUAUGCAUAUAUCUAUAUUUUGAAUUUUUCUAUUUUUAAAUAAACUUUGGAUAUAUAUGUCAUGGUAAACCAUGGUAAAAUAUUUUUUUAUUAUUUAGUAUUCUGCUCACGUGUUUGUUUAGUCGUUCUUUCGCUUGUCCUUCCGUCUGUUUGACAAUUUGCUUAUUCAUUUGUUAUUAUUAUUAUUAUUAUUAUUAUUAAUAUUAUUUUAUUUAUUUUUUUUUUUUUAUUGUUCCCCAUAAAUAUAUUUUUUAAAGAUGUCUGCAGAGGAAAUAAAAAAAAACGAUUAUGAAGACAUAUUGUUAAAAUUAUCAUUAACAAAUGAUGACAAAAUUGGAAAUGUAUUGUACAAAUUAAUUCCCAUUUUAUUAGAUGAAGUAUUAUUAUGUGAAAAGAGUUUUAAAGUUUUAUUAACAAAAAUAAUCAACCAUUGUAUGAUAAGAUGUAAAUCGAUAGAGAAUUUGCGUAUGCCUCUUGCUGAAAUAGCUUAUAAUCAUUUUAAAAAUAUUGAUAAUGUUAGCAGUGAUAGAAUAUUAUAUGACAAAAUAUUUUGUUUAUUUUUAGAUAUAGGGUUUAAAAGUAAGCAUGAUGAAGAGAAAUUAAAAUUUCUAAAAGCAAUAAUUGAAAAUAGUGAAAAACUUCGAGUACAUAAAUCUAUUAGUAUAUUUCUUAUAAUAAAAUUUGCUGAAAGUUUAGAAAUUUUAAACGAUAGUAAUAAUAAAAAAUAUAUGGAAGAAUUUAUUUUGAAUCAUUUAAGAAAAGUAGUUAAUGAUGUAGACAAUGCUACAUCUAUUUUAAGUGCUAGUGCUAUUGCCAAUUUAAGUGCUAGUACUAUCACUAAUGCUAGUUUAUAUGGUAGUACUAUUACUGAGAGUAAAGAAAUGAAAACCAAGUAUUCUCAUGAUAACCACACUAACCUAUUAGAUGAUAACAAGAUUUAUAAUUUUAUGAAAUGUUUAAAUGAAUUUUUAGCUUUUCCUAUUAAUAAUAAAAAUAUAGAAGAUAUAAAAUUUCUUUCAUCAGACAUAUUGGAUGUAUAUGUACAUGUUUUAUAUCAAAGAAAUUAUUCACAUAAGAAUCACAUAAAAAUGAAAAAUAAUAUUUUGAAUUUUUUAAGUACAUAUUUAUAUAACACGAAUUUAACAUAUUCUGCUUAUGUUAUUUGUUCUAAUGAAAAAUAUGAUGAAGUAAGAUAUUAUGCGAAUACAUUAAUUCAAAGUAAAAAAAGGUUUAUAAAUUUUGAUAAUAAUCCUUUGAUUAUUUCUUUAUAUUUAGAAAUAUUAAAAUAUUUUGACAACAAUAUAUAUCCAAUUAAUUAUGUAAUAAAGGUUUUAAGUAUAUUUCAAAAUAAUAAAAGUUGUGUUUUUAAGGAUAAAAAGAUUUUAUAUAUGUUUCUAAGUUAUAUAUAUUUUUUUCUUUUUUUUUUUAAUGAUGAUUUGCAAAAUAUAGAUUUUGUUACUAAUUUUAAGCAGUUUGGAUUGAUAUUUAAUGAUAAAAAGCAGUUUUUAAAAUAUUUAUUUAAAAAAAAAUAUUCCAUUAUGUUAAAAAAUAAAGAGUUAAUAAACUGCUUACACAACUUAAUGAUACAGGUAAUUGAAAAUACUGAAAAAGUGUGCUUAGACAAGUAUAGUGAUUAUAUUUUUUGUUAUAUAUAUUGUAAUUUAGUUCAGGAGGAAGAAAAAGGGGUUGUUGGUGGGGGUAUAAAUAAGGGCAGUAUAAAUAAUAGCAGUAUAAAUAAUAGCAGUAUAGAUAGUGGCAGUAUAGAUAGUGGCAGUAUAGAUAGUGGCAAUACCAAUUCGGAUGCAAUAAGAAGUGGUAACAAUAAUGACAUUAACAUUAGUGAUAAUACUGUAGACUUAACAGCUAUUUCAAAUUUUAUAGAAAAAUUUUAUGAUAGACAUACAAAAGAUGAAGAGGUAAAUAUAAACUUACUAAAUAGAUCUUUUGUAUUAGCUUAUAUAUUUUUAAAUAAAUUAAAAAAAGUUAAACAAGUAAAGAGAGAAUCAUACAUUGUGUAUAAUGACUUAAGUAAAGUGUUAACACAUUUAGAGAAAUAUAUAAAAAAUUGUUUUAAUAUAUUUAGUAGUAAAGAACAAAAAAAAAUUAAAUAUUUGCCUUGUAAUAUUAUUACUAUUAACGAUUAUGAUAAUAUACAUGAUAUUGUAACAACAAUUGAAAAUAAAAUUUUACACAAUGAAAAUUAUACAGAUAUUAAAGCAUCAAAUAGUUAUGAAAAUAUAACAAGUAUAAAAAAUAUAAUUAUUGAAAAUGUUAUGAAUUUAUUAGAUAGAUUUAUUAUUUUUUCGAACAAUACUUUAUUAUCCAGUUUUUUACUAAAAUGGAGUUCUAAUAUGUUUUCUUGUGGUACUUGUGAAUUUUUGUAUUAUCCUUUACUUUUUCAAAAUAAUAAUGAUGCAGUUUUGUCAGAUAUUGUUAAGAAUGCGUUAAAAUCAAAUGAGAAAGAAAAAAGGUUAUCUAUUGAUGAAUAUAUUUUGUUUUUAUCAAAAAAGUGGUGUCCCAUAAACAAAAAUAUUAGAAUUUUUAUUAUUACUGAUACGUGUUUACGGUACUGUAAUUCAUUUUCAUCAUCUUUGACAGGUUAUAUACAAGAGAGUGUAUCAGAGAACAUUCAUAGAGAUGUACCACUAGAUAUACCUGUCAAUGUGUCAAAUGUAUGCUCAGAAAGUGAUAAAUACAAAAUAAUGGAAAUAAAAAUAGACGAAAUUAGUACUUUGAUAAAACUGGAGUAUAAAAAAAUAGAGCAUGGUGCGAUUUUUUUAAUAAAUGAUAUAAAUAGUAUUAUGAAUUAUACGAAUAUAAAUUAUGUAAAUUAUGAUUUGGAUAAUUUAUAUUAUGUAAUUAAAUAUAUUGAAAAAUUGAACUUUUCCAAAUUUAAUUGCAUGGAAACUUUUUUUUAUGCAUUCUUCUUUUUAGAUUUAUUUUUAACGCUUAUUUUAAAUAGUGAUCAGGGUAAAAAAAAUAAGUAUUACAUAAUUUACUGCUCCGUUUUUACCUUAAUUGUAAAAUCUUUACCAGUUUUGUUUCAUAAUAAUAGUAAAAGUAUUAGUAAUAGUGUUAGUAAUAAUUUACAAAGCUGUAAUGGUAAUAAUGUUGAUAACAAAAAAAAUUUAGACGCUAAAAAAAACGAUAAUACAAUAAUAGUUGAUAGUUUAACAAUUUUUAUAAAAAAAAAACUACCAAUACUGUUAGAAAAUAUUUUGUAUAGUGAAGAUCAUAAAUUAGUAAAAGAAGGAAGUAAGUUGUUAAUAAAUUUAUAUUUAUUGACAAAAAAAACAAAUGAAGAUUUGUUUGAUGAUAUUUUAAAAUUAUUAAAACUUAUGGAUUUAAAAACUAUGGAUUUAAAGGAAAUGGAUGGAAUAAAAAUGAAUCGAAUGGAAAGUACAAAGAAAAAUAAAAUGAUAUGUUCUCAAAUAUAUUUGUUCGGUUACUUAAUAAAAAAGGAAACAUAUUUUUAUGAAAAAUAUGAUUUUUUGUUAGAAAAAGUUACGGAUUAUGUGUUAUACAUAUAUUACAAUUGUAUAAAAACCAAAAAUAAAUUAGUUGAAAAUUUAAUUUUGUUAAAAUAUUGUAUAAAUUUUUUUUAUUCAAUAUUUUUUACAGAACAAUUUUUAUUAAAAUGGUGUAAAGUGUUAAGUAAUAGUGAUUACAUUCUUGCAGAGGUGUCUACUGGUUUUAUUAGUAACGAUAUUAUGGACAAUAGUGGAAUGAACAAAGGCUGUUACGAAAGUUGUCGUGAAAAUAAUAGUAUUUGUAAUAACAAUUCAAAUAUGUACAAAUAUAUUGUCCAGAUUUUUGUAGACAUAGCGAAAUAUGUAAAAGAUAAUAAUAACACAAUUGAUUAUGAUUUUACGUUACUAAAAAGUAUUUUAAAAGUUUUUAGUUGUUUUGUAACUUUAAAAAGUGAUGAUGUUAAUUUUAUGAUAAAGGAAGAUAUCCAACAUACUAUGAUAAGCAAUGAUAAUUUUUGGAUUGAAAAACUUUAUGGCCGUUAUAUUUCUAACAUAUUUUUAAAAUUAGAUAAAAUAAACUCAAAUAAAAUAGGAAAUGAUUUUAUGCAAUUUAUUCAUAAAUGUUUUGAUAAUAAUUUGGAAAGGGAUAAUAUAAUUUUAAAUAAAAAAAAAAAGAAUUUUUUAUGUAUUAUUUUGUUUUAUAUAAUAUAUUAUAAUCCAUUUUUAGAAUAUAUAAAUGAAAAUGUAUCAUUUAUAAAAAAUAUAUUUAUUGACAAUAUAAAAUCUGAAAAUGGUAUAUGUUCUGAUUAUGGUUUCUUAGGGUUAAGUGUUUUAUUUUUUGCACUAUCGAUGCAAGUAAAUAUAGAUAUUAGUAACACAGAAUGGUUAAAAAAAAAUUAUAGUUGGUUAAAAGAAAAAAAUAGUAUUUUCAAUACGUACCAUAAUAACAGUGAACAAACGAAUGGCAUUUAUAAUGAACAAACGGACAAAAAUGAUAAUGAGCAGACAGACAAAAAUGAUAAUGAACAAGCGAACAACAAUGAUAAUGAACAAGCGAACAANNNNNNNNNNAACAAGCGAACAACAAUGAUAAUGAACAAGCGAACAACAAUGAUAAUAAACAAGGGAACAACAAUUAAAAAUAAAUAAUAUGAAUAACGAUAUUUAUAUAUUUGAAAAAGAGGUUUUUAUUAAUAUAUCAGAAAUGUACAAACUUUUUGAUAAUAUAUUAGAUAUAUUUGAUGAAAUUAAAGAGUUUGAUAUAUUUUAUUAUAUGUAUCGUUUUUUAAUUAAUAUUCCUGCUAUUUUUAUUAAAAAUUUUAAUUUAUUAAAACUGUUCAAAAUUUAUAAUGUAUUAUUAAAUAAAUAUUUUUAUAAUCGUAAUAAUGAUAUAGCU
ensembl:lncRNA